rnacentral:lncRNA from 1 species
UGUAGAUAGUCUAUUCACAUUAUUAAUAAACCAGGUGGUUCUGUGAAACAUUAUUUUACUCAAAUGUGAAAUAAUGGUAACAAUUUUACGAACACAGUAACAGCUGAGUAGAAUACGUUGGCCUUUGGAUGCGUCCAAAAAGUAGCCGAAAGCUUUGAAGACUAUAACAAAAGCAGCCAUCCAUUUUAGACCUUAUGCCGAC